AGAGUUUGAUCCUGGCUCAGAUUGAACGCUGGCGGCAUGCCUUACACAUGCAAGUCGAACGGCAGCACGGGUGCUUGCACCUGGUGGCGAGUGGCGAACGGGUGAGUAAUAUAUCGGAACGUACCUUAUCGUGGGGGAUAACGCAGCGAAAGCUGCGCUAAUACCGCAUACGCCCUGAGGGGGAAAGCGGGGGACCGUAAGGCCUCGCGCGAUUAGAGCGGCCGAUAUCUGAUUAGCUUGUUGGUGGGGUAAAAGCCCACCAAGGCGACGAUCAGUAGCUGGUCUGAGAGGACGAUCAGCCACACUGGGACUGAGACACGGCCCAGACUCCUACGGGAGGCAGCAGUGGGGAAUUUUGGACAAUGGGGGCAACCCUGAUCCAGCAAUGCCGCGUGAGUGAAGAAGGCCUUCGGGUUGUAAAGCUCUUUUGUCAGGGAAGAAACAGCAGCUCUAACACAGUCUGCGAAUGACGGUACCUGAAGAAUAAGCACCGGCUAACUACGUGCCAGCAGCCGCGGUAAUACGUAGGGUGCAAGCGUUAAUCGGAAUUACUGGGCGUAAAGCGUGCGCAGGCGGUUAUACAAGACAGGCGUGAAAUCCCCGGGCUUAACCUGGGAAUGGCGUCUGUGACUGUAUGACUAGAGUGUGUCAGAGGGGGGUAGAAUUCCACGUGUAGCAGUGAAAUGCGUAGAUAUGUGGAGGAAUACCAAUGGCGAAGGCAGCCCCCUGGGAUAACACUGACGCUCAUGCACGAAAGCGUGGGGAGCAAACAGGAUUAGAUACCCUGGUAGUCCACGCCCUAAACGAUGCCGACUAGUUGUUGGGAAUUUACAUUCUCAGUAACGUAGCUAACGCGUGAAGUCGGCCGCCUGGGGAGUACGGUCGCAAGAUUAAAACUCAAAGGAAUUGACGGGGACCCGCACAAGCGGUGGAUGAUGUGGAUUAAUUCGAUGCAACGCGAAAAACCUUA
rnacentral:rRNA from 1 species